rnacentral:rRNA from 1 species
GAUGAACGCUGGCGGCGUGCCUAAUACAUGCAAGUCGAGCGAACGGACGAGAAGCUUGCUUCUCUGAUGUUAGCGGCGGACGGGUGAGUAACACGUGGAUAACCUACCUAUAAGACUGGGAUAACUUCGGGAAACCGUAGCUAAUACCGGAUAAUAUUUUGAACCGCAUGGUUCAAAAGUGAAAGACGGUCUUGCUGUCACUUAUAGAUGGAUCCGCGCUGCAUUAGCUAGUUGGUAAGGUAACGGCUUACCAAGGCAACGAUGCAUAGCCGACCUGAGAGAGUGAUCGGCCACACUGGAACUGGGACACGGUCCAGGCUCCUACGGGAGGCAGCAGUAGGGAAUCUUCCGCAAUGGGCGAAAGCCUGACGGAGCAACGCCGCGUGAGUGAUGAAGGUCUUCGGAUCGUAAAACUCUGUUAUUAGGGAAGAACAUAUGUGUAAGUAACUGUGCACAUCUUGACGGUACCUAAUCAGAAAGCCACGGCUAACUACGUG